rnacentral:rRNA from 1 species
AGUGAACGCUGGCGGUAGGCCUAACACAUGCAAGUCGAACGGCAGCACAGUAAGAGCUUGCUCUUACGGGUGGCGAGUGGCGGACGGGUGAGGAAUACAUCGGAAUCUACUUUUUCGUGGGGGAUAACGUAGGGAAACUUACGCUAAUACCGCAUACGACCUACGGGUGAAAGCAGGGGAUCUUCGGACCUUGCGCGAUUGAAUGAGCCGAUGUCGGAUUAGCUAGUUGGCGGGGUAAAGGCCCACCAAGGCGACGAUCCGUAGCUGGUCUGAGAGGAUGAUCAGCCACACUGGAACUGAGACACGGUCCAGACUCCUACGGGAGGCAGCAGUGGGGAAUAUUGGACAAUGGGCGCAAGCCUGAUCCAGCCAUGCCGCGUGGGUGAAGAAGGCCUUCGGGUUGUAAAGCCCUUUUGUUGGGGAAGAAAAGCAGCAGGUUAAUACCCCGCUGUUCUGACGGUACCCAAAGAAUAAGCAACGGCUAACUUCGUG